CUACCGCCUUGGAAACGUUUUUAAGGCAAUAGGGCGAGAGCAGCAUCCCUAUGGGCUGAGCUUUUCAACCUACCAUAAGCUGCUCCUUGCAUUAUAUUUUUUGCCUUGUGGCCACACUCUUGGUAGAACAUUCUAGCGUGAUUUGCAGUC
ensembl:ncRNA W03B1.16 ncRNA